UGGAUCCAGACUUUGAUCAUGGCUCAGGAUGAACGCUAGCUACAGGCUUAACACAUGCAAGUCGAGGGGCAGCGGGAUUGAAGCUUGCUUCAAUUGCCGGCGACCGGCGCACGGGUGAGUAACGCGCAUCCAAUCUUCCGUACACUCAGGGAUAGCCUUUCGAAAGAAAGAUUAAUACCUGAUAGUAUCUUAAGCACACAUGUAAUUAAGAUUAAAGAUUUAUCGGUGUACGAUGGGGAUGCGUUCCAUUAGGUAGUAGGCGGGGUAACGGCCCACCUAGCCAACGAUGGAUAGGGGUUCUGAGAGGAAGGUCCCCCACAUUGGAACUGAGACACGGUCCAAACUCCUACGGGAGGCAGCAGUGAGGAAUAUUGGUCAAUGGACGAGAGUCUGAACCAGCCAAGUAGCGUGAAGGAUGAAGGUCCUACGGAUUGUAAACUUCUUUUAUAAGGGAAUAAACCCUCCCACGUGUGGGAGCUUGUAUGUACCUUAUGAAUAAGCAUCGGCUAACUCCGUGCCAGCAGCCGCGGUAAUACGGAGGAUGCGAGCGUUAUCCGGAUUUAUUGGGUUUAAAGGGAGCGCAGACGGGUCGUUAAGUCAGCUGUGAAAGUUUGGGGCUCAACCUUAAAAUUGCAGUUGAUACUGGCGUCCUUGAGUGCGGUUGAGGUGUGCGGAAUUCGUGGUGUAGCGGUGAAAUGCUUAGAUAUCACGAAGAACUCCGAUUGCGAAGGCAGCACACUAAUCCGUAACUGACGUUCAUGCUCGAAAGUGUGGGUAUCAAACAGGAUUAGAUACCCUGGUAGUCCACACGGUAAACGAUGGAUACUCGCUGUUGGCGAUAUACUGUCAGCGGCUUAGCGAAAGCGUUAAGCAUCCCACCUGGGGAGUACGCCGGCAACGGUGCAACUCAAAUGAAUUGACGGA
rnacentral:rRNA from 1 species